UGCCGCGUGAAGGAUGAAGGCCUAUGGGUUGUAAACUUCUUUUCUCAGAGAAGAAUUUUGACGGUAUCUGAGGAAUAAGCAUCGGCUAACUCUGUGCCAGCAGCCGCGGUAAGACAGAGGAUGCAAGCGUUAUCCGGAAUGAUUGGGCGUAAAGCGUCUGUAGGUGGCUUAAAAAGUCUCCUGUCAAAGAUCAGGGCUUAACCCUGGGCCGGCAGGAGAAACUCUUAGGCUAGAGUUUGGUAGGGGCAGAGGGAAUUCCCGGUGGAGCGGUGAAAUGCGUAGAGAUCGGGAGGAACACCAAAGGCGAAAGCACUCUGCUGGGCCACAACUGACACUGAGAGACGAAAGCGAGGGGAGCAAAAGGGAUUAGAUACCCCUGUAGUCCUCGCCGUAAACGAUGGAUACUAGAUGUUGGAUAGGUUAAAUCAUUCAGUAUCGUAGCUAACGCGUGAAGUAUCCCGCCUGGGGAGUAUGCUCGCAAGAGUGAAACUCAAAGGAAUUGACGG
rnacentral:rRNA from 1 species